AACGCACCUUGCGCUCCUUGGUAUUCCUUGGAGCAUGCCUGUUUGAGUAUCAUGAAAUUCUCAAAGUCAAUCUUUUGUUAAUUCAAUUGGUUUGUGCUUUGGACUUGGAGGUCUUUGCGGAUUAAUAAUCUGCUCCUCUUAAAUUCAUUAGCUGGAUCUCAGUAUAUGCUUGGUUCCACUCGGCGUGAUAAGUUAUCACUCGCUGAGGACACUGUAAAAAGGUGGCCAGGAAAUACAGAUGAACCGCUUCUAAUAGUCUAUUAAAUUAGACAAUUAAAUUUUAAGAUCUGAUCUCAAAUCAGGUAGGACUACCCGCUGAACUUAA
rnacentral:misc_RNA from 1 species